rnacentral:rRNA from 1 species
ACGCUCGACACCUACGGGAGGAGCAGUGGGGAAUAUUGCACAAUGGGGGAAACCCUGAUGCAGCGACGCCGCGUGAGCGAAGAAGUAUUUCGGUAUGUAAAGCUCUAUCAGCAGGGAAGAAACUGACGGUACCUGACUAAGAAGCACCGGCUAAAUACGUGCCUGCAGCCGCGGUAAUCUGAGCGGGCUGGCAAGGC